UUGACACAAAUGUCCCUUCUAUUCACUGCGUCGUUUCAAAGGAAAUUUUUUUUGGUAUAAGCGAACGGAGGGGAAAAGAAUGGGUAGAACGAUAAGUUCUUUUUACGAAUUUCGAAGCAAGGUGUUACCUCAUACCGUACUUUCUCAUUCUUGUCUGAGAUGAUCGUGCGGGAACAAACUUGCUGGACAUAU
rnacentral:snoRNA from 1 species